rnacentral:rRNA from 1 species
AUUGAACGCUGGCGGCAGGCCUAACACAUGCAAGUCGAGCGAGCGGCGGACGGGUGAGUAAUGUAUGGGGACUGCCCGAUAGAGGGGGAUAACUACUGGAAACGGUAGCUACUACCGCAUACUAUCGGAUAACCCAUAUGGGAUUAGCUAGUUGGUGAGGUAAUGGCUCACCAAGGCGACGAUCCCUAGCUGGUCUGAGAGGCGGAUAAGCAAAACUGGGACUGAGAAACGGCCCAGACUCCUACGGAGGCAGCAGUGGGGAAGAUUGCACAAUGGGCGCAAGCCUGAUGCAGCCAUGCCGCGUGGAUGAAGAAGGCCCUAGGGUUGUAAAGUACUUUCAGUCGGGAGGCGUUACCGACAGAAGAAGCACCGGCUAACUCCGUGCCAGCCGCCGCGGUAAUUC